CAUGAUGUCUGUUGAUCCAGAAGAUGCACCUAAUCAACCUGAAUAUGUAGAGAUUGGUAUAGAGUCGGGACUCCCAGUUUCAGUAAAUGGGAAUAAGCUUUCCCCAGCUUCUCUUCUUUCUCAGCUCAAUGAAAUUGGUGGGAGACAUGGUAUUGGUCGUAUUGACAUGGUUGAAAACCGUCUUGUUGGUAUGAAAAGCCGUGGAGUCUAUGAAACUCCUGGAGGAACCAUUCUCUUCACUGCUGCUCGUGAGCUGGAGUCCUUAACUCUUGAUCGAGAAACAAUGCAAGUUAAAGAUUCACUUGCCCUCAAGUAUGCGGAACUAGUGUAUGCAGGCAGGUGGUUUGACCCAUUGCGCGAGUCUAUGGAUGCAUUCAUGGGGAAGAUCAC
rnacentral:misc_RNA from 1 species